rnacentral:rRNA from 1 species
UACGGGGGGAGCAAGCGUUGUUCGGAUUUACUGGGCGUAAAGGGCGCGUAGGCGGUCGUGACAAGUCACUUGUGAAAUCUCCGGGCUUAACUCGGAAAGGUCAAGUGAUACUGUCGGACUAGAGUACAGAAGGGGCAACUGGAAUUCUCGGUGUAGCGGUGAAAUGCGUAGAGAUCUGGAAGAACACCAAAGGCGAAGGCAGCAUCCUGGGAAGCGCCUGACGCUCAUGUGCGAAAGCUAGGGGAGCGAACGGG